rnacentral:rRNA from 2 species
GAAGGUGGCAAGCGUUGUUCGGAUUUACUGGGCGUACAGGGAGCGUAGGCGGUUGGAUAAGCCCUCCGUGAAAUCUCCAGGCUUAACCUGGAAAGUGCAGAGGGGACUGUUCAGCUAGAGGAUGGGAGAGGAGCGCGGAAUUCCCGGUGUAGCGGUGAAAUGCGUAGAGAUCGGGAGGAAGGCCGGUGGCGAAGGCGGCGCUCUGGAACAUUUCUGACGCUGAGGCUCGAAAGCGUGGGGAGCAAACAGGAUUAGAUACCCUGGUAGUCCACGCCUUAAACGAUGGAUACUAAGUGUCGGCGGGUUACCGCCGGUGCCGCAGCUAACGCAGUAAGUAUCCCGCCUGGGAAGUACGGCCGCAAGGUUG